rnacentral:rRNA from 1 species
UAGGGAAUAUUGCUUAAUGGGCGAAAGCCUGAAGCAGCAACGCCGCGUGUGCGAUGAAGGCCUUCGGGUUGUAAAGCACUUUUUGAGGGGAUGAGGAAGGACAGUACCCUCAGAANUAAGUCUCGGCUAACUACGUGCCAGCAGCCGCGGUAAAACGUAGGAGGCGAGCGUUAUCCGGAUUUACUGGGCGUAAAGCGCGUGCAGGCGGCUCGAAAAGUUGGAUGUGAAAGCUCCUGGCUUAACUGGGAGAGGUCGUUCAAUACUUUCGGGCUUGAGGAUGGGAGAGGGAGGUGGAAUUCCGGGUGUAGUGGUGAAAUGCGUAGAUAUCCGGAGGAACACCAGUGGCGAAGGCGGCCUCCUGGCCCAUUUCUGACGCUCAGACGCGAAAGCUAGGGUAGC